rnacentral:rRNA from 1 species
UACGAAGGGGGCUAGGCGUUGCUCGGAAUCACUGGGCGUAAAGGGUGCGUAGGCGGGUUAUUAAGUCAGAGGUGAAAUCCUGGAGCUCAACUCCAGAACUGCCUUUGAUACUGAUUAGUCUUUAAGUAUGGGAGAGGUGAGUGAAACUGCGAGUGUAGAGGUGAAAAUUCGUAGAUAUUCGCAAAGAAUCACCAGUGGCGAAGGGCGGACUCACCUGGCCCCAUAACUAGGACCGCUUGGACGGCUAACGAAAAGGCAUGGGGGAAGCAAAGCAGGGGAAAU